AGCGAACGCUGGCGGCAUGCUUAACACAUGCAAGUCGCGCGGGUGGUUUCGGCCAUCAGCGGCGGACGGGUGAGUAUCGCGUAGGAAUGUAUCCCGAGGUGGGGGACAACCCUGGGAAACUGGGGCUAAUACCGCAUGGGGCCUGUGGGUCAAAGCCUUAGGGCGCCUUGGGAGCAGCCUGCGUCCGAUUAGGUAGUUGGUGGGGUAAAGGCCUACCAAGCCUGCGAUCGGUAGCUGGUCUGAGAGGACGAUCAGCCACACUGGGACUGCGACACGGCCCAGACUCCUACGGGAGGCAGCAGUGGGGAAUAUUGGACAAUGGGCGCAAGCCUGAUCCAGCAAUGCCGCGUGGGUGAAGAAGGUCUUCGGAUUGUAAAGCCCUUUCGGCGGGGACGAUGAUGACGGUACCCGCAGAAGAAGCCCCGGCUAACUUCGUG
rnacentral:rRNA from 1 species